CUUAAAUAUUUUAAAAUUAAUUAAUAAUCAACAAAAUAUUUUGGGGAGUUGAAAAUACGCGUAAAUCUAAAAAUUCCCGAAUAUGUCAACUUUUAAAACUGCUACUAAAUACGUAAGUAGGCAAAAGACGAUCUAGCGCACCAAAACAUCUUAAUAACCAGAGAAAAAGAAAGCAAACGUGUCGCAGUAGCGACGAGCGAAAUGGGAGCAGCCUAAAUUGUGAAAACUGGGUUGUGAAAGAGUAAUACAAGUGUCAUGUUGCUAGGCGAAGCGGUAGAGUGCUAUACCUAAAUAGCGAGAGUCCAGUAAUUGAAAGUAUCACUAGCUUACGCUCUUAUCCUAGUAGUAUAGGGUACAUAGAAUUCUAUGUAAAUUAGCAAGAACCAUCUUGCAAAGCUAAAUACUCAUAGUUACGGUAGCGAAAUAGUAAUAUGAGGAAAUGGUGAAAAGAAUCCCGUUGAGGAGUGAAAUAGAA
rnacentral:ncRNA from 1 species